AUUGAACGCUGGCGGCAGGCCUAACACAUGCAAGUCGAACGGUAGCACAGAGAGCUUGCUCUCGGGUGGCGAGUGGCGGACGGGUGAGUAACGUCUGGGAAACUGCCCGAUGGAGGGGGAUAACUACUGGAAACGGUAGCUAAUACCGCAUAACGUCGCAAGACCAAAGUGGGGGACCUUCGGGCCUCACACCAUCGGAUGUGCCCAGAUGGGAUUAGCUAGUAGGUGGGGUCAUGGCUCACCUAGGCGACGAUCCCUAGCUGGUCUGAGAGGAUGACCCGCCACACUGAACUGAGACAAGGUCCAGACUCCUACGGGAGGUAGCAGUGGGGAAUAUUGCACAGUGGGCGCAAGCCUGAUGCAGCCAUGCCGCGUGUAUGAAGAAGGCCUUCGGGUUGUAAAGUACUUUCAGCGGGGAGGAAGGCGGUGAAGUUAAUAGCUUCACCGAUUGACGUUACCCGCAGAAGAAGCACCGGCUAACUCCGUGCCAGCCGCCGCGGUAA
rnacentral:rRNA from 1 species